rnacentral:rRNA from 1 species
GUGGGUAACCUGCCUUAUAGUGGGGGAUAGCCUUUCGAAAGGAAGAUUAAUACCGCAUAAGAUUGUAGUAUCGCAUGAUAUAGCAAUUAAAGGAGCAAUCCGCUAUAAGAUGGACCCGCGUCGCAUUAGCUAGUUGGUGAGGUAAUGGCUCACCAAGGCGACGAUGCGUAGCCGACCUGAGAGGGUGAUCGGCCACAUUGGGACUGAGACACGGCCAGACUCCUACGGGAGGCAGCAUG